rnacentral:rRNA from 1 species
GUGGAGCAUGUGGCUUAAUUUGACUCAACGCGGGAAAUCUUACCGGGUCCGGACACACUGAGGAUUGACAGGCGAUAUCAACUCUCUCUCUUUUAAUUUAAUUAUUAAAAGUAGAGGUGUUGUGUUAAAUAUGCUAGUCCUUUCAUGAUUAUGUGAUAGGUGGUGCAUGGCCGUUCUUAGUUCGUGGAGUGAUCUGUCUGCUUAAUUGCGUUUCACUAAGGGCCUAUAUCAUUACAAGCAUGUCUAUGCAAUUCUAGCGCAUUGACCCCUCAUCACAUUCAAAACUUCAAUUAUUUGAUUGGUUUAUUUGUGAUGUUUGCGCGUGUCUUUGACUAACGCUGUUUGCUUUUCAUGUGUUUUAGGUCCUGAAAGCAACGAACGUGACCGCAACCUCUUGUUGCCACAUUCAAACUCUUUCAUCAUCACAUCAUCGAAGCUAAUUCGUUUUGUGAGAAAAGUCAGGUGGCUUUUUUUUUUAAACUAGAGGGACCGCUGUUAUCUUCUUAAACCAGAGGAAGGUUGCGGCAAUAACAGGUCUGUGAUGCCCUUAGAUGUUCCGGGCUGCACACGUGCUACAAUGAUCAUUGCAGUGAGCAUCUCAAUUUUACUUUAUUACAUCGCUAGCGCGAGUCCGUUUAUUCUGUUCAUGCCAUAGUCUCAUACGGCUGUUGGCUGCAGCUUUAAACGUGUAUCUCUGCGCGCGAUACAGCCUGCUUUGAAAGUUUAGUGGGUAAUCAAUUAGAAGUAAUGAUUUCCAAGUUAUAGCACACUGAUAUACGGCAUCCUUACCCAGCUAGCCUUUUGUGCUAGUCUUUUGUGCGUAGAGAUGAAUCCAACAUUCUAGUAAUUUCUCAUUAUCAUCUCUUUGAUAUAAUGAAUUUGCUUUGAAUGGUUCGUAUGUGCAAUUGUCAAUUCAUGGUGGGGACAGACCAUUGUUAAUUGUUGGUCUCGGUCUUAACUAGGAAUGCCUUGUACGGGUCUUUGGUUCAACAAACCACCCGGAAUACGUCCCUGCCCUUUGUACACACCGCCCGUCGCUCUUACCGAUGGACUUCUCUGUGAGUUUGAGGGACUGGGUAUUCAUGAAUCAAUUAUUCAUUCGUGAAUAAUUACAUGACCUAUGGAAACUUAAACGAACAGUGUGGUUUAAAG